rnacentral:rRNA from 1 species
CGGAGGGUGCAAGCGUUGUCCGGAUUUAUUGGGUUUAAAGGGUGCGUAGGUGGCCUUAUAAGUCAGCGGUGAAAGUCUGCAGCUUAACUGUAGAACUGCCAUUGAUACUGUAAGGCUUGAGUACUGAUGAGGUAGGCGGAAUUGAUAGUGUAGCGGUGAAAUGCAUAGAUAUUGUCAAGAACACCGAUUGCGAAGGCAGCUUACUAAGGAGUUACUGACACUGAGGCACGAAAGCGUGGGGAUCAAACAGGAUUAGAUACCCUGGUAGUCCACGCCAUAAACGAUGAUUACUCGAUGUAUGCGAUAGACAGUAUGCGUCCAAGCGAAAGCGUUAAGUAAUCCACCUGGGGAAUACGACCGCAAGGUUG